UUUUUUUUUUUUUUUUAUUUAUUUGUUGAAAUUACAAUCAAUUCUCGCGUUGGGAAUUUUCAGUAAUUUUUCUGGCGUGGCGCAGUGACAUGGCUGUUUAUUUACAAUAAUUAAUACUUAUUAUAGAUAGGUAUAAUUUAUAAGUAUUAUAAGUAAGUGCAUUAGCUUAAUUUGGAUAAUUAAAUGAAUCUAACGUUUAGGUCUAGCGGGUAGUGCCUCUUCAGCCUGCGAAUCUGGUCCGUCGUAUCGAGUAGUCCAGUGAUUAGGGGGUUUCGGUGUUUCUUGACUCUUUUGCUAUAUCUGUCGCUAUAUUUUGCUAUUUCCUCUUUGACUGUAGGUAUCUUGAGGUCGCGAUGGAUGGUUUCGUUGGUAACAUACCAAGGUGCGUCUAUUAAGGCUCUUAGCGUUUUCGAUUGGAAUCGUUGUAGUAUUUCGAUGUUGGAGUUACUUGCUGUUCCCCAUCGCUUCCUAUAUCCCUAUAUUCCGUACUUGCUUCGCUUGGUACUUUUAUAAUUUUCGCAGUUACAAUAAAAAAUUUAAUUCUUAACAGAUUAAAGAUUUAACCUCUUGCUUUAUAGUGUACAAUAAUUUUUUUUUUUUUUUUUUUUUUUUUUUUUUUUUUUUUUU